rnacentral:rRNA from 1 species
UACGUAGGGUGCGAGCGUUAAUCGGAAUUACUGGGCGUAAAGCGUGCGCAGGCGGUUAUAUAAGACAGUUGUGAAAGCCCCGGGCUCAACCUGGGAAUGGCAAUGGAUACUGGCAAGCUAGAGUGCGGUAGAGGGUAGUGGAAUUCCCGGUGUAGCGGUGAAAUGCGUAGAGAUCGGGAGGAACACCAGUGGCGAAGGCGGCUACCUGGACCAGCACUGACACUGAGGCGCGAAAGCGUGGGGAGCAAACAGG